UUAACAUCCAAGUGGAAGUGGUUGGGAAAUUUUCCACUACGUUUGAUCCAGACAUGUAGCUGGGCCAUUUAGGAGGCAGAUAUGCCUUAGUAAUAUUUGAAUUUGGAGGAAUGGCAAUUUCUGUUUUCAAAUUCUAAGGCUGAAGUCAUUGAAACAAGAGCCCAAAAAACAGUGAAAAAGGUAUCUUGGAGUCUGGAAGAGUGAUUCGAAACAAAGGACUCCCACAGGACAGCAGAAGAAAUCAGCUCCCAGGGAUUUCCUCCCCAUGUGCAUCUGGACCAAAAUAC
rnacentral:lncRNA from 1 species